CCUACGGGAGACAGCAGUGAGGAAUAUUGGUCAAUGGGCGGGAGCCUGAACCAGCCAAGUCGCGUGAGGGAAGACGGUCCUACGGAUUGUAAACCUCUUUUGCCGGGGAGCAACGGGGUCCUUGCGAGGGCCCGAUGAGAGUACCCGGAGAAAAAGCAUCGGCUAACUCCGUGCCAGCAGCCGCGGUAAUACGGAGGAUGCGAGCGUUAUCCGGAUUUAUUGGGUUUAAAGGGUGCGUAGGCGGGCUGUUAAGUCAGCGGUCAAAUGUCGGGGCUCAACCCCGGCCUGCCGUUGAAACUGGCGGCCUCGAGUGGGCGAGAAGUAUGCGGAAUGCGUGGUGUAGCGGUGAAAUGCAUAGAUAUAUGGAAGAACACCAGUGGCGAAAGCGGCUCUCUGGUCUGUAACUGACGCUGAGGUUCGAAAGCGUGGGUAGCAAACAGGAUUAGAUACCCUAGUAGUC
rnacentral:rRNA from 1 species